rnacentral:precursor_RNA from 1 species
UGAAACAAAUUAUUUUUGAAGGAAGAGACAAGGGGAGAGAGAGCUGGACUUCACGUGAAAGCUGGCAGCCAUUAUGACUCAACUAGGGAUUUCAUUCCACAAGCUAGUGCUUUACCUUAUGUAAAUGGGCAGAUCAAGGUUAGUUCGGAACCAGUGGCAGCUUGCUGGUUUUGAUUUAUCUGCACUUGGCAUGAGGAACAUGGAGGGCGAUGUUUAACCCUCAUUAUAAUCUAGAUUAUUCAAAUCUGGCUUGUGGUGGCAAUGGUUAUACAGUUUUUCGACCUUUAAAUGGGCACUGAAAGGGAAGUAUGACGGAGUCUGCUCGCAAAUUAGUGGGUUCUUGACCGUUGUAAUAAUGUAUUUGAGAAAAUUGUUGGCUCUUAGAUUUGCAGUGAGGUUAUAAUUAUAAUCAUCUAACCAUAAUUUAUAGGAAAAGCAAUACUCUUCUUUUCUAUAUAUAAUAUAUAGACUAGAUAAUUCGGGUCAUCCGAAUUGACCCGAACUCAAUUAUACAAAAUUAUAGUCUGCUAAUUUUGUAUUGGGUUUAUGAUAAAUUUAUAGGGUGAAUAGCAAAUGUAGAAUGUUGGUUUGAUUUAUUUUUUUGUUGGGUUUAUGAUAAAUUGAUGGGGUGAAAACUAUCCUCAAACCCUUUGGGGGUAGCUCAACCAUCCCAUUUGGCCUUUUGAGGUGGCUCGGCCACUCUAUUUGUCCAAAAUAGGGGUGGUUCGGCCACCCCCAAAGAUCCAAAUGAGGGUGGCCGAAACCACCCCAAUUCUUUUGGGGGUGGCCAGCCACCCCCAUGGCUAAAUCGGGGUGGUUCGGCCACCCCCAUAAUUGUCCAUGGGGGUGGCUACAACCACCAUUUUUUUUUCUUCAGAUUAUUAUUAUUUUUUUUAAAAAAAAUAAAGAAUAUUUUAAAAAUAAAAAGUUUAGUCAAAGGUAAUUUGAGAAAGUAAAUAAUGAAAAUUUCAAUUUCCGUCAGAUGAAACGGCAUAUGUUAACGGAUUGUUUGAAUUGAAAAUAUUUACAACAUUGGAGGGUAUAAUUGGAGGCGAAAUUGAAAAACUCUUCAAACAUUAGGAAUAAAAUGCAUUUUCUCCUUUUUUUUAAUGAUCUAUAUUUAAUUUUAAAAUUUUUAUGAAAAAAAUAAAUUAAACCUAAACGUAAUUUUUUUUUUUUGACCGCACCAAAAUCCAUAUUUCGUAGCAACUGACGCGAACCACGUAGGGCUUCCUGUCUAUAAAAGCACAAACAUAGGCAACCCAAAGAUGCAAAGAUCCACGGCCGCCUCUUUGUUUCGUACGGCCGUGUUUAUCCUCUGUUGGUAUAUGCAUAUGAGCUGAACGCACGUCUAAAGCCAAUGGGAUAUGGCUCCAUCACAUUCGUUUAUUCAGAGAAAUCACGGUUGCGAAGGGAAUGCUAUUCUUUCCCCAUGUUAAGUCUCAACCGUGUUUCUCUGUAUAAGGAGAUGUGCUGGAACUCU